rnacentral:tRNA from 1 species
GUUUUUAUAGUUUAAAAAACAUUGGUCUUGUAAACCGAAGAUAAAUCAGAUUUUUAAAAACU